UCCCUGAGACCAUUGACUGCAU
rnacentral:miRNA from 1 species